UACAGAGACUGCAAGCGUUAUUCGGAUUCACUGGGCGUAAAGGGUGCGCAGGCGGCCAUGUGUGUCAGGUGUGAAAUCUCGGAGCUUAACUCCGAAACUGCGCCUGAAACUACAUGGCUAGAGCAUUGGAGAGGGUAGCGGAAUUCAUGGUGUAGCAGUGAAAUGCGUAGAUAUCAUGAGGAACACCAGAGGCGAAGGCGGCUACCUGGACAAUUGCUGACGCUCAGGCACGAAAGCGUGGGGAGCAAAAGGG
rnacentral:rRNA from 1 species